AAAUAAUCACUUAUUAAUAAAAGUAUUGUAACAUCUGAUUAAUAAUGAAAAUAAUCUUAUCUCUUUACCUAUAAGUAUUUAAUAAAGAAAUUUUAAUUAUAGAAUAAUAGCUGACAAGUACUGUAAAGGAAAGUUGAAAUAUGUGAAAAUCUAAUUUUAUAAUAGUAUAAAUAUAACCUAGUACCUUGUGUUUCAGGGGACUUAAAAUUAAGCUCAUUAACCGAGCAAUCCCGAAAUUUAGUGAGCUAGCUUGCUAUUAAUAGUUAACGUAGUAUAGUUAUUAUCAAUAACUUGCUAGGAGUGAAAUUCUAUACGCACUAAUAGGUAUCUGGUUUUUCAAUAAAUAAAUUUAAUUUAGCUCUUAAAAAUAUUUUUUUUAAGCAGUAAAAAUAGGAGGGAAAAGCUUCUUAUUUAAUAAUAACCUAACUACAGGUGAUUAAAUGUAAUCUAUUUAUCUAGGCUUAAAAUCAGUCAGGUUUCAAAAUCGUUAUAGGUUAUUUAUAAAGAAUUUAAUAUUUAAAAUCAUCUUAGUUCAAUUAUUGAAAAACUUAAUCGAAUUAUUCAUUUUUGAUUGUAAUUAAGUCAUUAGUAUAAAAUCUUGUAAAUUAAAAUUGCUAGUUUAAUAUUUUUACCUUUUUGAGGGUUAAUUAAUUGUACUAAGGAACUCGGCAACCACUCCUUCUGCCUGUUUAUCAAAAACAUGUCCAUAUGGUAAAAUGAUGUAUAUGGUCUGGCCUGCCCACUGAUGUUUAAUUAAAGGGCCGCGGUAUUUUGACCGUGCGAAGGUAGCAUAAUAAUUAGUCUCCUAAUUAGAGGCUUGUAUGAAUGGUCGGACAAGAUGGAAACUGUCUCAGUACAAACAAUAAAAUUUAAUAUUUAAGUAAAAAAGCUUAAAUAACAUGGAGGGACGAUAAGACCCUAUAAAGCUUUAUAGUAAUCCCUUUUUAUUCAAAAUAUAAAAUUUUAACCUGUUAAAAGAGUAUUACUAUUUUACUGGGGCGGUAGAAGUAUAUAACGAUUAACUGCUUUUGUCUUACUAAACAAUAAUAAUUGAAUAAUUAUGCGAUCCAUUAUUAAUGAUCAAAAGUACAAGUUACUUUAGGGAUAACAGCGUAAUUUUUCUUGAGAGUCCUCAUCGAAAGAAAAGUUUGCGACCUCGAUGUUGAAUUAAGGAAGCCUUAAGGUGCAGCAGUUUUAAUAGGCAGAUCUGUUCGAUCUUUAAAUCCUUACAUGAUUUGAGUUCAGACCGGCGUAAGCCAGGUUGGUUUCUAUCUUCCAUUAAUUGUAAACUUACUUUAGUACGAAAGGAUUUAGUAAGUCAAAUAUUUUGUUUUAAAGUUGAACUCCAUUAACU
rnacentral:rRNA from 1 species